rnacentral:tRNA from 1 species
GUGGGCGUAGCUCAGUUGGUUAGAGCGCCGGUUUGUGGCACCGGAGGUCAGGGUUCAACCCCUUCGUCCACCCCA